rnacentral:rRNA from 1 species
GCACCAGUGGGGAAUAUUUGCGCAAUGGGCGAAAGCCUGACGCAGCAACGCCGCGUGAGGGAUGAAGGCCUUCGGGUUGUAAACCUCUUUUAUCAGGGAAGAAGCGAAAGUGACGGUACCUGAAGAAAAAGCACCGGCUAACUACGUGCCAGCAGCCGCGGUAAUACGUAGGGUGCAAGCGUUAUCCGGAAUUAUUGGGCGUAAAGAGCUCGUAGGCGGUUUGUCGCGUCUGCUGUGAAAAUCUGAGGCUCAACCUCGGACUUGCAGUGGGUACGGGCAGACUAGAGUGCGGUAGGGGAGAAGGGAAUUCCUGGUGUAGCGGUGGAAUGCGCAGAUAUCAGGAGGAACACCAAUGGCGAAGGCACUUCUCUGGGCCGCUACUGACGCUGAGGAGCGAAAGCGUGGGGAGCGAACAGGAUUAGAUACCC